rnacentral:misc_RNA from 1 species
GGGACAUCAUUUCCCCUUCGAGUUCCCAACAACUCCAGAUCCUCUCAUAAAUCCGCGCCUGCGAGAUCUCCGCCGUCGAGAUCGCCGGAAUCUCUGUAACUCUAGCUCCUCCGCCGUCGAGCUCGCCGGAGCCUCUGAAUUUAUAAACAAGGAAAACAUAAUGGCGACGUACCAACCAAAGAACAUCCUGAUCACUGGGGCAGCUGGGUUCAUCGCCUCCCAUGUUGCUAAUCGCCUCAUCCGUAACUACCCUGACUACAAGAUUGUCGUCCUCGACAAACUCGACUACUGCUCCAACCUCAAGAAUCUCAUCCCUUCCCGUGCCUCACCUAACUUCAAGUUUGUCAAGGGCGACAUAGCAAGUGCGGACCUUGUCAACUU